GACGUAGGGUGCAAGCGUUGUCCGGAUUUAUUGGGCGUAAAGAGCUCGUAGGCGGCUCGUCGCGUCGACCGUGAAAACUCUAGGCUUAACCUGGGGCUUGCGGUCGAUACGGGCGGGCUAGAGUUCGGUAGGGGAGACUGGAAUUCCUGGUGUAGCGGUGAAAUGCGCAGAUAUCAGGAGGAACACCGGUGGCGAAGGCGGGUCUCUGGGCCGAUACUGACGCUGAGGAGCGAAAGCGUGGGGAGCGAACAGG
rnacentral:rRNA from 1 species